AUAGUUCAGUAUCUAAUGGAUCUUUCCGUUCUAGUUCCAAUACUCUAUCCGAGAGUUAUCAGUAUUUAUCAAAUCUGUUCCUAUCUAACGGAACGCUAUUGGAUCAAAUGACAAA
rnacentral:pre_miRNA from 1 species